rnacentral:rRNA from 1 species
GACGAACGCUGGCGGCGUGCUUAACACAUGCAAGUCGAACGGAAAGGUCCUGCUUUUGUGGGGUGCUCGAGUGGCGAACGGGUGAGUAACACGUGAGUAACCUGCCCUUGACUUUGGGAUAAAUUCAGGAAACUGGGGCUAAUACCGGAUAGGAGCUCCUGCUGCAUGGUGGGGGUUGGAAAGUUUCGGCUGUUGGGGAUGGACUCGAGGCUUAUCAGCUUGUUGGUGGGGUAGUGGCUUACCAAGGCUUUGACGGGUAGCCGACCUGAGAGGGUGACCGGCCACAUUGGGACUGAGGUACGGCCCAGACGCGUACGGGAGGCAGCGGUGGAGAAUAUUGCGCAGUGGGCGGGAGCCAGAUGCAGAAACGCCGCGUGCGUAAUGACGGCCUUCGGGUUGAAAACCGCUUUGUCCGUAGACGAAGCGUGAGUGACGGUAAUGGGUAAGGAAGCACCGGCUAACUACGUG